GAUGAACGCUAGCGGGAGGCCUAACACAUGCAAGUCGAGGGGCAGCAGGGUGUAGCAAUACAUCGCUGGCGACCGGCGCACGGGUGCGUAACACGUAUGCAACCUACCUUUAACUGGGGAAUAGCCCUCCGAAAGGAGGAUUAACACCGCAUAACAUCACGAGACGGCAUCGCCUUGUGAUCAAACCUCCGGGGGUUAAAAUGGGCAUGCGUCCGAUUAGCUAGUUGGCGGGGUAACGGCCCACCAAGGCGACGAUCGGUAGGGGGUCUGAGAGGAUGAUCCCCCACACUGGUACUGAGACACGGACCAGACUCCUACGGGAGGCAGCAGUAAGGAAUAUUGGACAAUGGUCGCAAGACUGAUCCAGCCAUGCCGCGUGCAGGAUGAACGAUCUAUGAUCUGUAAACUGCUUUUGUUCGGGAAUAAACCCCUUCACGUGUGGAGGGCUGAAUGUACCGAAAGAAUAAGGGUCGGCUAACUUCGUGCCAGCAGCCG
rnacentral:rRNA from 1 species